GAUGAACGCUGGCGGCGUGCCUAAUACAUGCAAGUCGAGCGAACAGACGAGAGUGCUUGCACUCUCUGACGUUAGCGGCGGACGGGUGAGUAACACGUGGGUAACCUACCUAUAAGACUGGGAUAACUUCGGGAAACCGGAGCUAAUACCGGAUAAUAUUUAGCUUCGCAUGAAGCAAUAGUGAAAGACGGUUCUGCUGUCACUUAUAGAUGGACCCGCGGUGUAUUAGCUAGUUGGUGAGGUAACGGCUCACCAAGGCAACGAUACAUAGCCGACCUGAGAGGGUGAUCGGCCACACUGGGACUGAGACACGGCCCAGACUCCUACGGGAGGCAGCAGUAGGGAAUCUUCCGCAAUGGACGAAAGUCUGACGGAGCAAUGCCGCGUGGGUGAAGAAGGUUUUCGGAUCGUAAAACUCUGUUGUAAGGGAAGAACAAGUACGUUAGUAACUGAACGUACCUUGACGGUACCUUACCAGAAAGCCACGGCUAACUACGUG
rnacentral:rRNA from 1 species